rnacentral:lncRNA from 1 species
CAAUACAGUCUAUUAUAUAUCCACUAUACACCACAGAGUCAAUAAUAUAUCCACUAUGAACACAAUACACCACACAGUCUAUAAUAUAUCCACAAUACACCACACAGUCUAUAAUAUAUCCACAAUACACCACACAGUCUACAAUAUAACCACAAUACACCACACAGUCUAUAAUAUAUCCACUAUUGUCACGUCCUGGCCAGUAUAUAAGGUUAAUUGUUUUGUAGUUUGGUCAGGGCGUGGCAGGGGGUAUUUGUUUUAUGUGGUUCGGGGUGGUGUGUUUGUGUAAAGGGUGUUUGAUUUAGUAUUUCCGGGUUUUUGGUUGAUGGUCUAUGUGUUUGUAUUCUAUGGUUAGUCUGGUGUGUGUGUUUCUAUGGUGUUUGAUUUAGUAUUUCCG